rnacentral:rRNA from 1 species
CGUGUCGUGAGAUGUAGGGUUAAGUCCCGCAACGAGCGCAACCCUUGAUCUUAGUUGCCAGCAUUCAGUUGGGCACUCUAAGGUGACUGCCGGUGACAAACCGGAGGAAGGUGGGGAUGACGUCAAAUCAUCAUGCCCCUUAUGACCUGGGCUACACACGUGCUACAAUGGGCAGAACAAAGGGCAGCGAAGCCGCGAGGCUAAGCCAAUCCCACAAAUCUGUUCUCAGUUCGGAUCGCAGUCUGCAACUCGACUGCGUGAAGCUGGAAUCGCUAGUAAUCGCGGAUCAGCAUGCCGCGGUGAAUACGUUCCCGGGCCUU